AUUUAACUCAGAUGCUGAACGUGAAGGAUAACGUUGCGACAGCAACGGCCCGAAGGGCGAGGCGAAGUCGAGUCAUCCUGCACGACCCACCA
rnacentral:sRNA from 1 species